CUAAUACCCAGUGGAGUGCAUUAACUCUUAUGAUUGCUUAAAUUGAUUUUACUGUUUUAUCAGUUACUAUUGAACAAAUGAAAGGAUGCUGAUGAAGCAGUGUACUGUAGGCUUGUCUGCAAAGUUUCUCUUGGAGUCAUCUCCAUAUGAAUGAUUUCAUACAGCACAGAAAUAGUUUUAUGUAGAUAUUGACCUUGGAAAGAAACAAAACCAUGGCUUGGUAUUGAGGUUAGGUACAUGGAUCACGAAUUGCCCUGCAAAGAGAAGGCUCUAAUGAGGGUGUCACCAGCCUGCGUCCUCCAUGUUGGUGUGUGGUGGCCACGGCCGGCUGGCAGGUGCUGCGGAGCUGCACCCUCCCCUCCUCAGCAGGUCGGGCAGAAACCAAAGUGGAAAAGUCUGUGGUAGAGAGGAAGCCAGGAAGAUGGCUUAGCAGUUACUGGCAUGUGCAGAUAGACUCAGCUUGGGGACAAUUAGUUUAUUGCCAAUUAAAACCAGAUUGGCCCAGUCAUGGCCUGAGGUGGGGCUGUUGGCACCUGCUGUGACAGGUCUGGGGCAGCUGCGGCCUGUCCUCACAGCACCCUGCAGGCCGCAGUGCGUCAGCACCCCAAAUACUGUGGUGAAACAGGAUUUGAGGUUCCAAUUAAAACCGUGUUUGGGCCAUUGCUUUGCCUGCCAGUGCUUAAUCUUCUCCGAAAGCCUCAUCACUUAUCUAAAACAAAAGAAGAACGAGUUAUUCUUCUGCUGUGCAGCAAAAGGAAUACAGUACAUUUCAACCUACAGAAAGAACCUGUAUGUGGAGGGCUCUUUUUAUCUGAGGUGGUGGCACACCAUUGUUAGACGUAGAAGCAAGGCAUGUUUAUGCCAGCCAUGUGGCUUUAGUCAUGCUUAUGCCUGAUAUUAGCAUGGUGCUGCUUCUCUGUAUUUGAAAUGUCCUCUGCAUAAAAAUUUCCAUCACAGCUGCCUCAGCCAGUUGACAGAAUGUUCCACCUGAGGGUGCAGAUGUGCAGCUCCCAGAGCCGAGAUGGAUGGCUCCUUUCAGCACUAGAAGAAAAUGAGCCUGUAUCCCAGCCAUAAACUGAAAGAUGUUAUCAGAGAUGAGGUUCACCAGUUCUUAGGAAGAAAGGGGCUCCUUUUUUACACUGAUAAAUUCCUAUUCUUGAUGUAGUCUACAUACCUGAAGCCACACUACGAAGAGUAUCUUUCUACAUGGAAAUGAAUGAUAAUAGUUUAUUGGAUAUCUUCAGUAGACAGCAAGCAGAGAAUGGUAGUAGAAAAUUCUGUAAUAAGCAGAUCAGCUUCUGUAUAAAAUUAAAUAAUCA
rnacentral:lncRNA from 1 species